UACGGGGGGGGCAAGCGUUGUUCGGAAUUACUGGGCGUAAAGGGUUUGUAGGUGGCCGGCUAAGUCAGACGUGAAAUCCCUCAGCUUAACUGGGGAACUGCGUCUGAAACUGAUCGGCUCGAGUGCAGGAGAGGAACGCGGAAUUCCAGGUGUAGCGGUGAAAUGCGUAGAUAUCUGGAGGAACACCGGUGGCGAAGGCGGCGUCCUGGUCCUUGACUGACGCUGAGGCGCGAAAGCGUGGGGAGCAAACAGG
rnacentral:rRNA from 1 species